rnacentral:lncRNA from 1 species
CCAACACUCGUCUGACCCUGCGGGAUUUCAAGCCUUGAAUAACAGGCGUCUUACAAAAUCACCACAGCUAAACUGAAAAGGCAGAUGCAUCUCAGAGUACCUGAUUGAGUGAGCUGGUGUGUGCACUGCAUGUACAUGAAAACGCACAUGUUUUUGUCCUCAUAUAGACUUACUCUUGCAUAUUCCUGAGAGCUUUGCAGUUGAUGAAAAUUAAUUUGAGAACCAGAUGGAGCACCUUUACAGCACAGGAAUCAGUAACCCAUGGAAAGACACCUGCCAGUAAUGUUCAGCUUUCCACAUGGUCUUCACAGGUGAAAACAGUUUGCAAGAAGAGGAAGAAAAAACACCCUCUGCACAGAAAAAGCCUAACAAAUACCUCCACAAUCUAAAUCAAUAGCUGUGAGGGAAACGAGAAGAAUACAGAGGGUAGAGGAAGCUGACUUUGUUAUUGCAGAGGAAUAAUGUAUGGUCUUUGGCACGUUUUGCUUUGGGCUCAAUAGGUUGUGAAUGGACUAAUAAAUCAUGACCACAUGUUGAGUAAUGAUGACUGGAAGUAAAUAAGUUGAGGAACUAUGGGAAAACUCUGGGCAUUGAACUGAGCAAACCUCAUCGUCCUUCUUGAGUUAACCAGGUCAUCAAACUGAUGCAUAUUCUUUCUCCCUCUCCUUUUUCCUCUUUUCACUUAGUGUGGUAUAAAUACUAAUUAAUUGAGCUCAUAAAUGUUAUUCAAAUAAAACGAUUG